AGAGCACUUUCUUACUUUCCUGCUGGACACCAGCAAUUCAACACACCAAAGAGUUCAUUUAAAAAGCUACAGAAUGGGGGUACCAUCACCACGUCCAUGGUCAGUGCCUUCUCACUGGUCUCCCAGAGCGUAUGAAAGCAGCAGGUUGCGGAGUUCAAGUCCUUCGAAAUGUGAAUCGAAACAGCUGCCUCUAAUCACUAGCACAAGCUGGGCUUAAGGGCCUCUCAGUUUCACCCCUCAUCUGCCUGGAAUUUUGAAUUUCCUGAGCGGAGAUCAAAUGGCAGCCCGAGUCAGUGAGACCUUUGAUAUGGGGACACCCAUCUCGCGAGGGCCUUCUGCAUUGGGAUUUACGCUUGACAACACACUUGGUGUCACCUCCUAUCCCUGCGGACGCGCCAUAGCCCCUGAAUACAUUGGACCUCUUUGACGGCACAACAGAGCCCACCCCGUCCCCAACACCUCCUCGCACCCCCUCCCCACACCCCGCAUGGAGUGCCCAGCAGUUAUUUAUUAAAUUUGUUGUGCCCACCCUGGUAUGGUUUCAGUAGGCCACUUAGUUUUGGAUUGCAUCCUGGAUUUUUCAAUUAUGUGGUUCAUUUCACCUGCUUGUGUUCCUUUACCCCCCUGGAUCAAGGGCGAAGGAGAUCACAUUUAAUUAUUUCAAAACAAGAAGUCUGAAGCGGGGCCCCACAGAUCUAUAACAUCAUACUUUCCUAUCUAUUGCCCACAUCACCACUACUUUAACUAAGCAGCAUUUAGACUGUUAGAAAAAGAAACUCAGUCCCCGGCCUCCGAACAGCUCAUUACUCGUGUCAAUAAGAAAAUUUGUCUACCUAACAGGAGGGUAAAUAUAAGGGCAGAAUAUGGGAUUUCCAGAAUUCCUUGCUUGUUGAGUCUCAUAUGGAGCACAUUAGUGGUCUGUGUGAUUGACAGCUGCUCCUGUGUAUAGCCAAAAGGAGAACUAUUGAGAUAUAGGAGAUUAUUAUAUCCGAGGUAAUGCGUAUGGGCUGUCCACAGCAGGCGUGAAGAUGCUAUCUGGCUUGGUUGUGGCUUGUAUGGAUUAGAGUAUGUUAGAGGGGCUGCUCCACUAAACAAAGUCUUUGUAUUCAUCUAUGUGAGCAUUUAUAUAGUCAUUCUUUGUGUAUAGAAUAGAAGUCGGGAAAUUUUUAAUCAGACAAUUACACAUUUUAUUCUCUUGGACUCAACAUCCAACUAGAAGAAAAAGAUUGAGACUGAUGUAGUGUGUUAUGUCACAUGUUUAAUACAAGUAUUAAAUCAGUUCAAACUGUAAAAAUCUAAUUUGGCUUCAAACAGAAAGUUUUUUAGUUGGAGACAGUUUAAAAUUUCUAGUUCUUUUCAGGUUGUUUAUGUAUCCAAAUGUAAAAUGAAUCACCAUAGUAAAAAGUCAGUGAAUAGACAAAGUUACAAGAAUUCCCUCCAUCUGAACAGUGUGAAAAUGUAGUUAAUGGAAAGGUGACAAUAAACAUAUGUUUGAAAUUUA